rnacentral:rRNA from 1 species
CGUCCUACGGGAGGCAGCAGUCGGGAAUAUUGCGCAAUGGAGGAAACUCUGACGCAGUGACGCCGCGUAUAGGAAGAAGGUCUUCGGAUUGUAAACUAUUGUCGUUAGGGAAGAGAAAGGACAGUACCUAAGGAGGAAGCUCCGGCUAACUACGUGCCAGCAGCCGCGGUAAUACGUAGGGAGCGAGCGUUAUCCGGAUUUACUGGGUGUAAAGGGAGCGUAGACGGUUCUGCAAGUCUGAAGUGAAAGCCCGUGGCUUAACCGCGGAACGGCUUUGGAAACUGUGGAACUGGAGUGCUGGAGAG